GUCUACGGCCAUGCCACCCUGAACACGCCCGAUCCCGUCUGAUCGCAGAAGCUGAGCAGGGUCGGGCUUUGAGGAGCGGUGACCA
rnacentral:rRNA from 1 species